rnacentral:rRNA from 1 species
ACGGAAGGCAGCAGUGAGGAAUAUUGGUCAAUGGGCGAGAGCCUGAACCAGCCAAGUAGCGUGAAGGAUGACUGCCCUAUGGGUUGUAAACUUCUUUUGUUCGGGAAUAAAGGAGCCUACGCGUAGGCUUUUGCAUGUACCGUUCGAAUAAGCAUCGGCUAAUUCCGUGCCAGCAGCCGCGGUAAUACGGAAGAUGCGAGCGUUAUCCGGAUUUAUUGGGUUUAAAGGGAGCGUAGGCGGCCUUUUAAGUCAGCGGUCAAAUGUCAGCGCCCAACGCUGGCCUGCCGUUGAUACUGAUGGGCUUGAAUACACACAAGGAAGGUGGAAUUCGUCGUGUAGCGGUGAAAUGCAUAGAUAUGACGAAGAACACCGAUUGCGUAGGCAGCAGACCAGGCCGUAAAUGACGCUCAUGCACGAAAGUGCGGGGAUCGAACAGGAUUAGAUACCCUGGUA